UACGUAGGGUCCGAGCGUUGUCCGGAAUUACUGGGCGUAAAGAGCUCGUAGGUGGUUUGUCGCGUUGUUCGUGAAAACUCACAGCUUAACUGUGGGCGUGCGGGCGAUACGGGGCAGACUGGAGUACUGCAGGGGAGACUGGAAUUCCUGGUGUAGCGGUGGAAGUGCGCAGAUAUCAGGAGGAACACCGGUGGCGAAGGCGGGUCUCUGGGCCGAUACUGACGCUGGAGGAGCGAAAGCGUGGGGAGCGAACAGG
rnacentral:rRNA from 1 species